UGGGGGAUAUUGCACAAUGGGCGAAAGCCUGAUGCAGCGACGCCGCGUGGGGGAUGAAGGCUUUCGGGUUGUAAACCUCUUUCGCUAUCGAACAAGGCCCGCUUAGGGUGGGUUGAGGGUAGGUGGAGAAGAAGCGCCGGCUAACUACGUGCCAGCAGCCGCGGUAAUACGUAGGGCGCGAGCGUGGUCCGGAAUUAUUGGGCGUAAAGGGCUUGUAGGCGGCUUGUUGCGCCUGCUGUGAAAACGCGGGGCUUAACUUCGCGCGUGCAGUGGGUACGGGCAGGCUUGAGUGUGGUAGGGGUGACUGGAAUUCCAGGUGUAGCGGUGGGAUGCGCAGAUAUCUGGAGGAACACCGAUGGCGAAGGCAGGUCACUGGGCCAUUACUGACGCUGAGGAGCGAAAGCAUGGGUAGCGAACAGG
rnacentral:rRNA from 1 species